UUCCGGUUGAUCCUGCCGGAGGUUACUGCUAUCGGUGUUCGCCUAAGCCAUGCGAGUCAUAUGUAGCAAUACAUGGCGUACUGCUCAGUAACACGUGGAUAACCUGCCCUUGGGUCCGGCAUAACCCCGGGAAACUGGGGAUAAUUCCGGAUAACGCACAUAUGCUGGAAUGCUUUAUGCGUCAAAUGGAUUCGUCUGCCCAAGGAUGGGUCUGCGGCCUAUCAGGUAGUAGUGGGUGUAAUGUACCUACUAGCCGACAACGGGUACGGGUUGUGAGAGCAAGAGCCCGGAGAUGGAUUCUGAGACAUGAAUCCAGGCCCUACGGGGCGCAGCAGGCGCGAAAACUUUACAAUGCGGGAAACCGUGAUAAGGGGACACCGAGUGUCAGCAUCAUAUGCUGGCUGUCCAGGUGUGUAAAAUACACCUGUUAGCAAGGGCCGGGCAAGACCGGUGCCAGCCGCCGCGGUAACACCGGCGGCCCGAGUGGUGAUCGUGAUUAUUGGGUCUAAAGGGUCCGUAGCCGGUUUGGUCAGUCCUCCGGGAAAUCUGAUAGCUCAACUAUUAGGCUAUCGGGGGAUACUGCCAGGCUUGGAACCGGGAGAGGUAAGAGGUACUACAGGGGUAGGAGUGAAAUCUUGUAAUCCCUGUGGGACCACCUGUGGCGAAGGCGUCUUACCAGAACGGGUUCGACGGUGAGGGACGAAAGCUGGGGGCACGAACCGGAUUAGAUACCCGGGUAGUCCCAGCCGUAAACGAUGCUCGCUAGGUGUCAGCAUGGCGCGACCGUGUCUGGUGCCGCAGGGAAGCCGUGAAGCGAGCCACCUGGGAAGUACGGCCGCAAGGCUGAACUUAAGGAAUUGGGCGGGGGAGCAC
rnacentral:rRNA from 1 species